rnacentral:rRNA from 1 species
GACGAACCGUGCGAACGUUAUUCGGAAUCACUGGGCUUAAAGCGCGUGUAGGCGGGAUGGCACGUCCGUUGCUGAAAUCCCCCGGCUCAACCGGGGAACGGGCGCGGAUACGACUCUCCUUGAGGGGCGUAGGGGGACCUGGAACUUCCGGUGGAGCGGUGAAAUGCGUUGAGAUCGGAAGGAACGCCCGUGGCGAAAGCGAGGUCCUGGACGCCUACUGACGCUGAGACGCGAAAGCCAGGGGAGCGAACGGG